rnacentral:rRNA from 1 species
UACGGGGGGUGCGAGCGUUGUCCGGAAUCACUGGGCGUAAAGGGCGCGUAGGUGGCCUGAUAAGGGUGUGGUGAAAGUCCGGGGCUCAACCCCGGAUCUGCCGUGCCGACUGUUGGGCUGGAGUACUGUAGGGGCAGGCGGAAUUCCGGGUGUAGCGGUGAAAUGCGUAGAUAUCUGGAGGAACACCGGUGGCGAAGGCGGCAUCCUGGACCGGCAUUGACGCUGAGGCGCGAAAGCCGGGGGAGCAAACGGG